rnacentral:rRNA from 1 species
GAGUGGCGAACGGGUGAGUAAUGCAUCGGAACGUGCCCAGUCGUGGGGGAUAACGCAGCGAAAGCUGUGCUAAUACCGCAUACGACCUACGGGUGAAAGCGGGGGACCGUAAGGCCUCGCGCGAUUGGAGCGGCCGAUAUCAGAUUAGCUAGUUGGUGGGGUAAAGGCCUACCAAGGCGACGAUCCGUAGCUGGUUUGAGAGGACGACCAGCCACACUGGGACUGAGACACGGCCCAGACUCC